rnacentral:rRNA from 1 species
CGUACACUCCUACGGGAGGCAGCAGUGGGGAAUAUUGCACAAUGGGCGCAAGCCUGAUGCAGCGACGCCGCGUGGGGGAUGAAGGCCUUCGGGUUGUAAACUCCUUUCGCUAGGGACGAAGCUUUUUUGUGACGGUACCUAGAUAAGAAGCACCGGCUAACUACGUGCCAGCAGCCGCGGUAAUACGUAGGGUGCGAGCGUUGUCCGGAAUUACUGGGCGUAAAGGGCUCGUAGGUGGUUUGUCGCGUCGUCUGUGAAAUUCUGGGGCUUAACUCCGGGCGUGCAGGCGAUACGGGCAUAACUUGAGUGCUGUAGGGGUAACUGGAAUUCCUGGUGUAGCGGUGAAAUGCGCAGAUAUCAGGAGGAACACCGAUGGCGAAGGCAGGUUACUGGGCAGUUACUGACGCUGAGGAGCGAAAGCAUGGGUAGCGAACAGGAUUAGAAACCCUGGUAGUCCC